GACGGAGGGUGCGAGCGUUAUUCGGAUUUAUUGGGCGUAAAGAGCGUGUAGGCGGCCGGUCAAGCCAGAUGUGAAAGCCCAGGGCUUAACCCUGGAAGUGCAUUUGGAACUGGUUGGCUUGAGUUCGGGAGAGGGAAGUGGAAUUCCGGGUGUAGAGGUGAAAUUCGUAGAUAUCCGGAGGAACACCGGUGGCGAAGGCGACUUCCUGGACCGAAACUGACGCUGAGACGCGAAAGCGUGGGGAGCAAACAGG
rnacentral:rRNA from 1 species